UACGUAGGGUGCGAGCGUUGUCCGGAAUUAUUGGGCGUAAAGAGCUCGUAGGCGGCUUGUUGCGUCGGCUGUGAAAACCCAUGGCUCAACCGUGGGCUUGCAGCCGAUACGGGCAGGCUAGAGUUCGGUAGGGGAGACUGGAAUUCCUGGUGUAGCGGUGAAAUGCGCAGAUAUCAGGAGGAACACCGGUGGCGAAGGCGGGUCUCUGGGCCGAUACUGACGCUGAGGAGCGAAAGCGUGGGGAGCGAACAGG
rnacentral:rRNA from 1 species